AGUGAACGCUGGCGGUAGGCCUAACACAUGCAAGUCGAACGGCAGCACAGUAAGAGCUUGCUCUUACGGGUGGCGAGUGGCGGACGGGUGAGGAAUACAUCGGAAUCUACUUUUUCGUGGGGGAUAACGUAGGGAAACUUACGCUAAUACCGCAUACGACCUACGGGUGAAAGCAGGGGAUCUUCGGACCUUGCGCGAUUGAAUGAGCCGAUGUCGGAUUAGCUAGUUGGCGGGGUAAAGGCCCACCAAGGCGACGAUCCGUAGCUGGUCUGAGAGGAUGAUCAGCCACACUGGAACUGAGACACGGUCCAGACUCCUAAGGGAGGCAGCAGUGGGGAAUAUUGGACAAUGGGGGCAAGCCUGAUCCAGCCAUACCGCGUGGGUGAAGAAGGCGUUCGGGUUGUAAAGCCCUUUUGUUGGGAAAGAAAAGCAGCAGGUUAAUACCCCGCUGUUCUGACGGUACCCAAAGAAUAAGCACCGGCUAACUUCGUG
rnacentral:rRNA from 1 species